rnacentral:rRNA from 1 species
UACGAAGGGGGCUAGCGUUGCUCGGAAUUACUGGGCGUAAAGCGCACGUAGGCGGCUCUUUAAGUCGGGGGGUGAAAUCCUGGAGCUCAACUCCAGAACUGCCUUCGAUACUGUAGAGCUUGAGUUCGGGAGAGGUGAGUGGAACUGCGAGUGUAGAGGUGAAAUUCGUAGAUAUUCGCAAGAACACCAGUGGCGAAAGGCGGCUCACUGGCCCGAUACUGACGCUGAGGUGCGAAAGCGUGGGGAGCAAACAGGAUUGAGAACU